UCGGUUUGUUAAUGGUGGUCGGCUCUAUUGCUUGUGCAACAACUUCCACCUGGCAUGCCCUAUUCAUUUGUCCGUUCAGGCUUCAUUUGCUUGAAUGAAUUGUUGGUUUCCUGUGUUGCCUACCAAACAUACGGUAUUGAUUUGGCUUAUCUAAGUCUAGUUCGUCUAUCGUCAUGCUUAUGACAUUUAGAUGAACCCUAAACCUAUCUCUUUGAACCACAUCGUCAAUGCUUUUGUGUUGAUGUAGUGGCGCAUGGAGCCUGGUUGGUCUCUUCGAUGUAGUACCUGUUGUGGGCAUGGGUCUCAUGGAUCCUUGUUAUGUCCCUUGUUUAGUGCGUACGCUCUUUGAAAUGACUGCUCGACACGUUUUGGCUCGUAACAGCGUGUUGGGUUUUGUCUAAGAGGAAAGUUACCUGGU
rnacentral:misc_RNA from 1 species